AUAGAUUUUGUAUCUAUUAAUAUAAGAUGAACCUCCUCAAAUCGAGUCAAUAUUUUUUUAUAAUCUUGUAUAUGAUUAGCAAUACACUUGUGACACCUCUUCUAAUCUAAAGUUUCAUGCUUAACUUCUUUGUAUCCUUUAAUAGAAAUAUCAUCUAAAAAAGGUAUAGUCUUCUCAAGAAUAAGAUCCCUUGGUACUUUGUUUAUCUCAUUCAACAUAUGCGCAAUUGAAUUAGUUGUGC
rnacentral:lncRNA from 1 species